rnacentral:lncRNA from 1 species
AAGGAAGGUGCCUGUGCAGAAGUGAAGGUAGAGAGAGUUAAUGGAGUUUGUAGAAUAGCUAAUUUUUACUAUUUGUUUAAUCUGUUACUAAGGGUCAUUUGUCAAACUGUGGCUGCUGUUCCUGUCCCUCCUUCCCUUGUUCACAGCAAUGAACAGCCUGGGAAAAAUUAUCCCCUUUCCAAAGGAUCAGCAAAGAGGAAGAGUUGAUGAUGAGGGUCCUGAGAAGUGAGGCAAUUGUGCAUGGAUCACUUCCCAGGACACAAAGGCUGUCUGCACACUCUGCACCCAGGAAAUGAGGUUAAUCAACACUUGCUCACAAGGACAGUGAAAAGAUCUUCCUCAUGAUGAUGGUAAGACCAGGAUCUUCACUGCUUGUUUCCUGAGGACAGUGGCAGCUCCACAAGACUUCAUCAGAAAUUGGUGGGGAAGUUGCUCCUCCAAGGAAUGAAGACUUGGACCUUGUACAAAACUGGCAUGUCACUCAGCCAAGGGACAGAAUAAAAGGCAAACAAAGCGGCAGCAUCUCAUACAACAUUCUCAAGGUGGAAUCUUCAAGUGAUGGGCAGCAUGGUUUGUGGGACUUCUUGGUUUUCCUUCCAUCUGGUUCAUAGGUGGAGCCGUGUACAUCAAUACACACAUGAAUGCAGCAAGUGUGUUCGUUUACCAACCUUUGCACAGGCAAACCUUCAGGCCACUUGUUGUAAUUUUUUCUUUUCUUUG